rnacentral:rRNA from 1 species
GAUGAACGCUGACAGAAUGCUUAACACAUGCAAGUCUACUUGAACUUCGGUUUGGGUGGCGGACGGGUGAGUAACGCGUAAAGAACUUGCCUCACAGUUAGGGACAACAUUUGGAAACGAAUGCUAAUACUUGAUAUUAUGAUUUUAGGGCAUCCUAAGAUUAUGAAAGCUAUAUGCGCUGUGAGAGAGCUUUGCGUCCCAUUAGCUAGUUGGAGAGGUAACGGCUCACCAAGGCGAUGAUGGGUAGCCGGCCUGAGAGGGUGAACGGCCACAAGGGGACUGAGACACGGCCCUUACUCCUACGGGAGGCAGCAGUGGGGAAUAUUGGACAAUGGACCAAAAGUCUGAUCCAGCGAUUCUGUGUGCACGAUGACGUUUUUCGGAAUGUAAAGUGCUUUCAGUUGGGAAGAAAAAAAUGACGGUACCAACAGAAGAAGUGACGGCUAAAUACGUGCCAGCAGCCGCGGUAAUACGUAUGUCACAAGCGUUAUCCGGAUUUAUUGGGCGUAAAGUGCGUCUAGGUGGUUAUGUAAGUCUGAUGUGAAAAUGCAGGGCUCAACUCUGUAUUGCGUUGGAAACUGCAUGACUAGAGUACCGGAGAGGUAAGCGGAACUACAAGUGUAGAGGUGAAAUUCGUAGAUAUUUGUAGGAAUGCCGAUGGGGAAGCCAGCUUACUGGACAGAUACUGACGCUAAAGCGCGAAAGCGUGGGUAGCAAACAGG